GCGCCCAUCGUCUAGCGGUUAGGACGCGCCCUUUCACGGCGGAAACAGGGGUUCGAUUCCCCUUGGGCGUACCA
rnacentral:tRNA from 1 species